rnacentral:rRNA from 1 species
AACGAACGCUGGCGGCAUGCCUAACACAUGCAAGUCGAACGAGACCUUCGGGUCUAGUGGCGCACGGGUGCGUAACGCGUGGGAACCUGCCUUUAGGUUCGGAAUAACUCAGAGAAAUUUGAGCUAAUACCGGAUAAUGUCUUCGGACCAAAGAUUUAUCGCCUUUAGAUGGGCCCGCGUUGGAUUAGCUAGUUGGUGGGGUAAAGGCCUACCAAGGCGACGAUCCAUAGCUGGUCUGAGAGGAUGAUCAGCCACACUGGGACUGAGACACGGCCCAGACUCCUACGGGAGGCAGCAGUGGGGAAUAUUGGACAAUGGGCGAAAGCCUGAUCCAGCAAUGCCGCGUGCAGGAUGAAGGCCUUCGGUU